AGGAGAUGUCCCUGCCCCUGUGUGCCUGAUAAGCAAGGGCUGUAUGAGUGAAGUCAUAGUCUAAGUCUCGGCUAUUUAAAGUAUACACUAGAUGGUGGUGAGGAUAUUGGGGUUGUGAGAAAAGAGUGUUCCAGGUGGAAGAAUCAGCAUAUGCAAAUUCCUAGGAGCUUGAAGAAACCGAGAAUCGUUGUGGGGUUGUUAAGAUUUUAGCCUGACUAGAAUAUGGCUGUACAGAGUACGGCUGGGAGAUACUGAUACUGCAGCAAGAGGAGGUCACGCAGAAAAGACCCCUGUGAGGCCUAAUAGGAAGUCUUCAGUUUGUCAUCACAGAAAUGAAAAUCAGUAAGAUUUUAUCCAUCUGAACCGAGCAAGCAACAGAAUGCAGACAAAUCACUAAGACUGGCUAUGGUGGGAAGGAGUGGGGAAGAGGCUCCUAAUGUGUUGUAAAACCACAGGAAAGAUAAAGGUAGUCUAAUGAAAUGAAAAUACUGAGAUUGGGGCCCCAGAUGGCUGAGUACAAGCAGCCAGUGUGCACUGCGCUCAUGGAAAAGAGAAAGAGGAACAAGUGAGCACUAGCUCCUCAACUGGAUGGGCCAGGCGUACACACUGGGGUUAAUCAAGGAAGCAACACAAUCCACAAAGAACAGAGAAGAGCAAGACAGGACAGCCACCUCCUCAGGACUGGCACAGACUCAGGGGGAGGCUCCCCACUGCCGGGAAACGGAGGAAAGCUUUGUGAGUAAGCAGGGGCCACAGCUGUUGCAGAUCAUUAGGAUGCUUCUCUCAAGAUAACUCCAGGCCUGACUAUUGCCCAUGGUGACCAAGGAUGGCCUCCUAUCCAGGACCAUAGGACAAAAUGGAUUUUCACUCUGUGUUUCAUCCAGCAUUUUGGUCACAUAAAAUUGAAAGACUUUCAACAUACUUAAGUCAGCAAACAACGAAAACACAGUCAAAAGAAUGGGGGAGGCAUCAUGUGUAGUGUCUUUAGUUUGUCAGAAAUCUCAGAAGUAAUUUUUUCUAGUGAAAAAUAAAUAAAUAAAAUAUAGAGACAAAUGAGUGAAAAAGAAAAAUUGGGAGCUUUGAGAAAGAACAACUAAAAUCUCUGUACUUUUUUUUUUUUUUUUUUUUUUUUUUUUUUUUUUUGAGACAGGGUCUCCUUCUGUCACCCAGGCUGGAGUGCAGUGGUGCCAUCUCGGCUCACUACAACCUCUGCCUCCUGGACUCAAGCAAUUCUCUGACCUCAGCCUCCUGAGUAGCUAGGACUACAGGCAAGUGCCACCAAGCCUGGCUAAUUGUUUUUUGUUUGUUUGUUUUUUGUAGAGACAGAGUUUUGCCAUGUUGCCCAGGCUGGUCUUGAAAUCCUGGCCUCAGGCAAUACGCCCUCCUUAACCUCCAAAAGUGCUGGGAUUACAGGUGCAAGCCACUAUGCCUGACCAAAAUCUCUGUACUCUUGAAUGGAAGCUGUCCCACAUAUUUUGAGGGUGAUCUGUUGAUUACUGAGACAUUUAGGGAUACAGGCACACUAUGGAAGUCCAUUUGUAAUGCUGAACCCUCCUGGGAAGCCCACAGGCCUGAAAAAAGACAAUUCCUCUCUUUGCGCUCCUCAUCCUUAAUGUCAAAGAAGACAGUUGGACAUAAGAGUAUCACAUCUUCAACUAUAAUGAGGAAGAUGACACAAAGCCUGAAUAUUAGGAAAUAUACUUGGAAAAGGUGGAGGUGGGGAAGGCUUUCCACUUUUAUAGAGUAUCUGCAUUGCCAGCAAGAGGUACUGGGUUAACUACAAUAGUUUGUAUAAGAUAUUUUUAACUUGGGAAGAAUAAUACGAGACAACAACAGAUGCUCCCAAGAUUAAUGUAUAUCAAAGAGACAUGUUAAUAAUAAUACUUAGACCCUGGAUGGAGGCAUGGAAUUUACAAACUUUAUUACACCAAAACCUUACUUGCAAAUCUGAUACCUACCUUAAACUCUGUGUUAUACAAAAGCCAAGAACAUAUAUUUUAUUCUUGCACUUCUAGGAAGAAUAGGGUACUUAACAAUGAGUAGGUUAUCUAAAAGUGCAUGACAAAUAAGUUAAUGCAUAGGUAAAUACAUGAGAAAAUAUUAUAAAAUUAAAUGAAUGAAUAUAGUCUUACAGAGAUGUGAUUACAUUCAUUCAAUUUAGUAAGAACUUAAACGAGGUACAAUUUUGACCAAUAACAUACAAAGAAAAAGCCAGAAGAGUACCUGUCCUUAUGGAAUUCACAAUCUCAAAGGUAACAGUUGUAUUACUAGACCAUUUUUUCUGAAAGGAUAAGAUGGGAUAAGGUAGCAUUUCUGGGCCUCCACUGUCUCAUUUCUAAAGUAGAGGAUUUAGAAUAAUUAUGGACAUUUCUUCUAACUCUAGGGUCCUGUAACUACUGUAACUAUGAUGAUUAAGAGGACUAGAAGAAAUGAAAGAAAACACCUAGUUUUACUUCUUCAUAGCCCCCAAGCUGAUUAACUUAGAAAAUGUCUCUUGAAAUUUCACUGAGUACAGCUGUUUCUGUUGACAAGAAAUUGCUGUUGAACCUACAGAGACUGUCUGUCUAUGUUGCACUGUUCUUAAAAGCAACCAUAAUUAAAUAGUGC
rnacentral:lncRNA from 1 species